rnacentral:rRNA from 1 species
GAGUGGCGCACGGGUGCGUAACGCGUAUGCAACCUACCUUAAUCAGGGGGAUAGCCCGAAGAAAUUCGGAUUAACACCGCAUAAAAUCACAGUACAGCAUUGUAUAAUGAUCAAAUAUUUAUAGGAUUAAGAUGGGCAUGCGUGUCAUUAGUUAGUUGGCGGGGUAACGGCCCACCAAGACCACGAUGACUAGGGGAUCUGAGAGGAUGACCCCCCACACUGGUACUGAGACACGGACCAGACUCCUACGGGAGGCAGCAGUAAGGAAUAUUGGUCAAUGGAGGCAACUCUGAACCAGCCAUGCCGCGUGCAGGAAGACAGCCCUCUGGGUCGUAAACUGCUUUUAUUCGGGAAUAAACCUACUUACGUGUAAGUAGCUGAAUGUACCGAAGGAAUAAGGAUCGGCUAACUCCGUGCCAGCAGCCGCGGUAAUACGGAGGAUCCAAGCGUUAUCCGGAUUUAUUGGGUUUAAAGGGUGCGUAGGCGGCUUAUUAAGUCAGGGGUGAAAGACGGUGGCUCAACCAUCGCAGUGCCCUUGAUACUGAUGAGCUUGAAUACACUAGAGGUAGGCGGAAUGUGACAAGUAGCGGUGAAAUGCAUAGAUAUGUCACAGAACACCGAUUGCGAAGGCAGCUUACUAUGGUGUUAUUGACGCUGAGGCACGAAAGCGUGGGGAUCAAACAGGAUUAGAUACCCUGGUAGUCCACGCCCUAAACGAUGAAUACUCGCUGUUAGCGAUACACAGUUAGCGGCUAAGCGAAAGCGUUAAGUAUUCCACCUGGGGAGUACGCCCGCAAGGGUGAAACUCAAAGGAAUUGACGGGGGCCCGCACAAGCGGAGGAGCAUGUGGUUUAAUUCGAUGAUACGCGAGGAACCUUACCCGGGCUUGAAAGUUAGUGAAUGAUCUAGAGAUAGAUCAGUGAGCAAUCACACGAAACUAGGUGCUGCAUGGCUGUCGUCAGCUCGUGCCGUGAGGUGUUGGGUUAAGUCCCGCAACGAGCGCAACCCCUAUGUUUAGUUGCCAGCACGUUAAGGUGGGGACUCUAAACAGACUGCCUGUGCAAACAGAGAGGAAGGAGGGGACGACGUCAAGUCAUCAUGGCCCUUACGUCCGGGGCUACACACGUGCUACAAUGGAUGGUACAGAGGGCAGCAAGCUGGCAACAGCAAGCAAAUCUCAAAAAGCCAUUCACAGUUCGGAUAGAGGUCUGCAACUCGACCUCUUGAAGUUGGAUUCGCUAGUAAUCGCGUAUCAGCAAUGACGCGGUGAAUACGUUCCCGGGCCUUGUACACACCGCCCGUCAAGCCAUGGAAGUUGGGGGUACCUAAAGUAUGUAACCGCAAGGAGCGUCCUAGGGUAAAACCGAUAACUGGGGCUAAGUCGUAACAAGGUA